rnacentral:rRNA from 1 species
GACGAACGCUGGCGGCGUGCUUAACACAUGCAAGUCGAACGGAAAGGCCCUGCUUUUGUGGGGUUCUCGAUUGGCGAACGGGUGAGUAACACGUGAGUAACCUGCCCUUGACUUUGGGAUAACUUCAGGAAACUGGGGCUAAUACCGGAUAGGAGCUCCUGCUGCAUGGUGGGGGUUGGAAAGUUUCGGCGGUUGGGGAUGGACUCGCGGCUUAUCAGCUUGUUGGUGGGGUAGUGGCUGACCAAGGCUUUGACGGGUAGCCGGCCUGAGAGGGUGACCGGCCACAUUGGGACUGAGAUACGGACCAGACUCGUACGGGAGGCAGCAGUGGGGAAUAUUGCACAAUGGGAGGAAGCCUGAUGCAGCAACGCCGCGUGCGGGAUGACGGCCUUCGGGUUGUAAACCGAUUUCGACUGUGACGAAGAGUGAGUGACGGUAAUGGGUAAAGAAGCACCGGCUAACUACGUG